UUACCUUGGUGAAGGUAGCUUGGGAAGGAACAGUUGGUGGAAACAUGACUUAGAAUCCAUAUGAGACAGUCGUGUCCGACUCUAUUCCUUAAGAAAAUUUUCGAGGGCAAAAAUCCUAUAAGUGAGGGAGAGUCGUAACACUCUGUUUUUGGUAGAUGAUUUUGAUUAAUUUAAUUAUGCCUUUUGUAUGAUGUAUUUAUUUGUUGUGUGGUUAUGGGGGUAAGUGUCCUUGAGGUGGAGGUAUAGGGAGAGAGAGUAAGAGGUUG
rnacentral:lncRNA from 1 species